GACGAACCGUGCGAACGUUGUUCGGAUUCACUGGGCUUAAAGGGCGCGUAGGCGGGCUCGCCAGUCUGUGGUGAAAGCCCCCGGCUUAACCGGGGAAGUGCCGUGGAUACUGCGAGUCUUGAGGAGGGUAGGGGCAUCUGGAACGCUGGGUGGAGCGGUGAAAUGCGUUGAUAUCCAGCGGAACUCCGGUGGCGAAGGCGAGGUGCUGGACCCUUUCUGACGCUGAGGCGCGAAAGCUAGGGGAGCAAACAGG
rnacentral:rRNA from 1 species